CAGGGUAUCUAAUCCUGUUUGCUCCCCACGCUUUCGCACAUGAGCGUCAGUAUCGGGCCAGUUGGCCGCCUUCGCCACUGGUGUUCUUCCUAAUAUCUACGAAUUUCACCUCUACACUAGGAAUUCCGCCAACCUCUCCCGAACUCGAAGACAGACAGUAUCAAAGGCAAUUCCGAAGUUGAGCUCCGGGAUUUCACCCCUGACUUAUCAAUCCGCCUGCGUGCGCUUUACGCCCAGUGAUUCCGAACAACGCUAGCCCCCUUCGUAUUACCGCGGCUGCUGGCACGAAGUUAGCCGGGGCUUAUUCUGCGGGUACCGUCAUUAUCGUCCCCGCCAAAAGAGCCUUACAACCCUAAGGCCUUCUUCACUCACGCGGCAUGGCUGGAUCAGGGUUGCCCCCAUUGUCCAAUAUUCCCCACUGCUGCCUCCCGUAGGAGUCUGGGCCGUGUCUCAGUCCCAGUGUGGCUGAUCAUCCUCUCAGACCAGCUAUGGAUCGUAGCCUUGGUAGGCCUUUACCCUACCAACUAGCUAAUCCAACGCGGGCCCAUCCUUUGGCGAUAAAUCUUUCUCCCGAAGGACUUAUACGGUAUUAGCUUCGGUUUCCCGAAGUUAUUCCGUACCAAAGGGAAGGUUCCCACGCGUUACUCACCCGUCUGCCACUCACCUUGCGGUGCGUUCGACUUGCAUGUGUUAAGCCUGACGGCAGCGUUCGUUCUGAGCCAGGAUCAAACUCU
rnacentral:rRNA from 1 species